ACUCCCUGACCGUUGGGCUUCCCAAGUGAGGCAAUGCCUCGCCCUGCUUAGGCUCGCGCACGGUGCGCGCACCCACUGACCUGCGCCCACUGUCUGGCACUCCCUAGUGAGAUGAACCCGGUACCUCAGAUGGAAGUGCAGAAAUCACCCGUCUUCUGCGUCGCUCACGCUGGGAGCUGUAGACCGGAGCUCUCCAGUCAGCCCGGUCAAGCAUGACAGCAACUCAAACUCGGCAAACUUCCAAGACGUGGAGGACAUGCCUGACAGAUGUGCCUUGGAAGAGUCUGAGAGUCCAGGUGAGCCAAGGCAUCAUUCAUGGAUAGCAAAGGUCUGCCCCUGCAAGGUGUCUUAAAUGGAAUCUCAUCAGUAGGAGCUGAAUUUGGACAAAUUAAGAAAUCCAAAAGAUGCCAUUUGUUUAUUACUGUAUAAAAGCAUUGUUGUUAUUGGUCAAGUUAUUAGGCUGUAGUGGAUUUGCUAAUACUUUAGCCAACAUGUAUUAAAGUGAUUUUAAUACAUGCUGAUUACAAUGCAAUACAUACUGAUUGAAAAUAUUCAUAUUCAUCUAAUUUUAGAAAAAUAUUGCCUAGAUCAUUCUCUAUUCCUGUUUCUUACUUUUUCUGUUAAUAUUUCCAACAGGGAAUGCCAGUCCACAGACACAAAUUUAAUACUGCUUUAAAUUUUCUCCUAUCCUUUUAGUCCCUGAAUUAUAUAAUAAACAAUGUUAAAACCAAUGUAGUACACAAUACUUACUUACAAAUUUAAUACUGCUUCAAGGUAUUUAAUCUAAAAUUUUACCAACUUUGAUUUGUCUGGUUAGGAUAUUUUGUUUUAGUGGAUAUGCUUUAAUUCGGAUCAAUUACUGCAGUAAAUCUCAUCCCUAAGCAUGAAAUGUUGUCAACAAAUACCCAGUUCCAUUUAGUUAUCAAUUAGCCCAAAUAAGAGAUACAAAGUAUAACAGUGACCAACCUUGUACUGUUGAGUUAAUUUGAACUUCUAAUGACAUUGAGGCUAAUGUCUUUAGCUCAAGGUUGAUCUUGUUGGCCAUAUAGAUGUGAACUAGGGAAGGGGAAUCAACUUACAGCAUAUCACAAUUGAUCCUUAUUAAGUAUAAACUCUUGUAGGUCUUUUCCCAGAAAGAAGCUUGACUAGCAGGAAUUCUAAAACUGAAAUAUAUCAAACAGCAUAAAUAGGAAUAGACAUAAAGUGCUCUUCUAUUAAAGCCUUUGGUGAUCUAUUUACUAUGAUUUAUAUUGUACAGUUCCUCGAUUUACAGAAAAUCAUCAAAAUUAUUAAUCUACAUAUCUUAUGUAUAUAAAUAUUGCCUAAUCCAUAGAAAAAAGGAUAUAAAGUAUUAAAUAUGUGAUAUAUAGCUAUAUCUAUCUAUCUAUGUAUCUAAUAGGGAAGUCCAAGUCACUUCAAUUGAAGAAACAUAUCUCUGAGCAUAGGAGCAGCCUCAGGUCCUAUGGUGGGAUGCAGUGGACAGGAGAGGGGGAAAUUAGAAAAGAGAACUAUAUAAUUGAAAAAGGGAUAUAAAGCAUUAAAUAUAUGAUAUAUAGCUAUAUCUAUGUAUGUAUCUAACAGAGAAGUUCAAGUCACUUCAAUUAAAGAAACAUUUUUGAGCAUGGGACCAGCCUCAGGUCUUAUGCUGGGAUGCAGUAGACAGGAGAUGGGGAAAUUAGAAAAGAGAACUGUGUAAUUGAAAUGACGUGGGCUGCACCCUUAAGGAACUUAUAAUUAAUGAUGAUCUGAAUAAACAUACCAGGAUAAAGAUGUCAAAUGAGUGUGACUCCCUUAAAGUAGAUUAAAGUGUGCAUUCUUUGUUUCCUAAAAUAUGAUUUUACUGCUUGAAAUUACAUUUGAGUUGAAGUUUAGAAACUAACAUAGCAUUAAUAUGAAUAAUCAUGGAAAAUUAUUAUCCUUUGAAAACUGAUUGAUAAAUAUAUUCCCCCUCCUUUAGAAACAGUCAAAAGCCACUUCAAACAAGUUUCAAAAUAAAGGAAGGUAGCAAGUUAGGCGAUGGAUUAUAUUUUCUUGCUUGUUGUAUACCAGUUGUCAAGGACAUUAUAAGGACUCCCAAAAGCAUUUUGAAGGAUGGCAAUAUCAAAUAAGUGUAUGUCCUCUCAAAUGAGGCAUUUUUAAUUGUUAAAAUCUAUUUGGACGCUCAGGUUAUGAUAUGUUUAUGAAAAAUAAGCUUCAUUAUUUUUAUAGCUACAUCCUAUUAUUCCCUUUUAGAAACAAGAAUAACAAUAGGUUUUAAUAGUUGCCAUACUUAGCAUUUAUCAGUUCUAAUGAAACCAAUAUUGAAUCUCUGAUAAAUAUUUUCUGAUGUUACUAGCUAUGGGAAAUUAGAACUGGCACAACCCUGACAUUACUAAGUGGAAAUGUUAGGAUUUUUCGGCAUCGCAUGUUAGAAUCUCUAAAAUUUAAACAUUCCUGUUAAAUGACUAAGGUUUGCUUUUAUCAAUAUGAAUUCUGAAGGCCAAUAUCAUACCAUUAACUAUGAAAGCUUUUAAUUCCUAAAAAUAGUUUUAGAGAUAUUCAAGCAAUGCUCUCCUAAUAUCCAUACGCAAGUGUGUUUAUGACACAAAUUCACUAGUCUGUUUAAAAAUGAAUUCUUUAUAUUGACUGGUGUUCCACAUAUUUCAGUAAUUUCUGUUAUGAGAGGACUUGAAAUAGCAAAUUGCCACACAGUUAACUGGAUAGACCACGUACGUGGUGAUCAUAACCACUUGGUACUACACCCAGAAACUCAAAAUUGUCUUUCUCCUGAUGAGAUAUGGGUGUCCUUUUGUACGUCUAGGCCUAGGUAACCAGUGGAGUGAUUAUAUUAGCAAAUGUGUUUGUAUCCGGAGUCUUCCUGUCAUUGUAAUAAAAAAUUUAUUUAAAAAUUUUGUCUUGUGUUUCUUUUUUGGUAAUCAUCUUGGUGAUAUUUAUGAAUGUAUUUGUGUGUGUGUGUGUGUGUGUAUACAUACAUAUAUAUGUGUGUAUAUAUAUACACACAUAUAUAUACACAUAUAUAUGUGUGUAUAUAUAUAUAUAUAUGGCAUAUCCCCCAAAGGAAUAUCAUAUUUUCAUUUGCAAGCCUUGAUUCUUUGACUUGCUGUUGAGUUUCACAUUGGCUCCAUUGUAUAUUGCAGGAAAAAGUACCUGGAAAGCCUGGAGGGUUAAAAGCAGAGGCUCCUCGGCAGCGUGUCCAGGCCGUGUGUGCUUGCUGUGCUUGUCAGAGCCUCAUUCCCUCCCCUGUGUUGGAGAGCUUUCUCACAGGGCUCAUCCAGAGGUGCUAGAAAGCAAUGUGAGCACUAUUAAACACUUCAAAUAUAAGGAAAAAUGUAUAAUGUUAGAAACACACAGUUAAAAAGUAGCCCCAGGUAUCAAACAUUCUGUUACUAUUUUAGAAACUAAAUUAAGGCUGCUUUGAACAUGAUGGUAUUAGAAAAAUGGUAGAAUACAGUUUGUUAAAUAUUAAUAUUCUAUCUUUAGAUGAUAGCAUUUGGUGACUUUUAUUUCUUUUCUCAUACAUUUUUUCCAGUGUUCUGUAUUUUUAAAAUCCUUUCAUAAUUAUUAUAAUGAACACUUUAGAAAAGAUACUAUUUCUCUUCCAUCCUUAGAGGGCACAUUAUAAUAAUUGAGUAUUUUAAAAUUAAAUUUUAUGCCAUGUAUUUAAAAUGAAAGUUCAGGUUACAUUAAUUCCAACUGAUUUUAAAGCCUUAUUUUCACAGAGUGGACUCAUUCAAUUUUUUAAAUUUUAUAUUCAUACAUUUUGAUUGCUCAGUUAUAUAAAAGCGGUGUUAUAGACUCCUUUAUUCUCCACAAAAUGUUGUCUUAUAUGUAAAGUGCCAAAAGUUGUGUUUAAUUUCCUAAGAAAGUCAUUGCUUUGUAAACAUUUGCAUAAUACUUAGUGUUUUUUGUAAUUUUAAAAAAUUAGCUUAACCAAAAGAGUUGCAAAAUUAAAACUUACUUGAGUAGGUAUCUUUCAGACAAAGCUGCAUGGCUUCAUGUACAAUAGUCCCCAGAUCACCUCGCACUGUAGUUUGCUCAAGAAGGAGCCUACAGAUGGCAGGUAGGAGAAGGUAAACUGGAAAUUAACAGGUCUGUCUGUAAGAGCAUGCCACUGGAAACACCCAUCCAAUUUGGGACCCCUGGAAGACAGCAUGUGUCUAAUGGGAGGCCUGUCCUAGUACAACUCCUUUACUCUUUUCACCUUCAUCUUGACCUUCUCAGAUACCAUCUUUAUGUAAAAUGUUGAUGUUGUGGAGUUUUUGCAGUAAUUUAAUUUUUAUAAAUAUUGUAUUAAAAUAUAUUUAUCUUGA
rnacentral:lncRNA from 1 species